rnacentral:rRNA from 1 species
UGCAAGUCGAACGGCAGCACGGGAGCUUGCUCCUGGUGGCGAGUGGCGAACGGGUGAGUAAUAUAUCGGAACGUAUCCAAUAAUGGGGGAUAACUAAGCGAAAGCUUGGCUAAUACCGCAUACGCCCUGAGGGGGAAAGCUAGGGAUCUUCGGACCUGGCGUUGAUGGAGCGGCCGAUAUCUGAUUAGCUAGUUGGUGGGGUAAAGGCCCACCAAGGCGACGAUCAGUAGCUGGUCUGAGAGGACGACCAGCCACACUGGAACUGAGACACGGUCCAGACUCCUACGGGAGGCAGCAGUGGGGAAUUUUGGACAAUGGGCGCGAGCCUGAUCCAGCCAUUCCGCGUGAGUGAAGAAGGCCUUCGGGUUGUAAAGCUCUUUCGCAAGGGAAGAAGGAUUACUCUCUAAUAUAGAGUGAUUAUGACGGUACCUUGAUAAGAAGCACCGGCUAACUACGUGCCAGCAGCCGCGGUAAUACGUAGGGUGCGAGCGUUAAUCGGAAUUACUGGGCGUAAAGCGUGCGCAGGCUGUUUUGUAAGUCAGAUGUGAAAUCCCCGAGCUCAACUUGGGAACUGCGUUUGAAACUACAAGACUAGAAUAUGUCAGAGGGGGGUAGAAUUCCACGUGUAGCAGUGAAAUGCGUAGAGAUGUGGAGGAAUAUCAAUGGCGAAGGCAGCCCCCUGGGAUAAUAUUGACGCUCAUGCACGAAAGCGUGGGGAGCAAACAGGAUUAGAUACCCUGGUAGUCCACGCCCUAAACGAUGUCAACUAGUUGUUGGUAGAGUAAAAUCUAUGAGUAACGCAGCUAACGCGUGAAGUUGACCGCCUGGGGAGUACGAUCGCAAGAUUAAAACUCAAAUGAAUUGACGGGGGUC